ensembl:lncRNA
AAGGCACACCAUAUGAGUAAGGAGAGGCCUAGACACACAGCCAGUUACAGGAUUAGUAAGUGAGUUGGGAAACCCUCCAAAGCAAAGAGAGGCUUGCAAAGGUUAAGUAUGAAAUACUAUAUAUGAUCUUGUUUCUUAUUUAUUUCUUUUAGACUAAAACUCUUCAAGCAGGAUGUGUCGAUUGCCCAUCAGCUUUGACAAAGCAAAUCUCUGCAGUGAGUCCUCUGUUACCAGUACAGGUGACACUGAGACAAGAUUCUGGAACGUGGUCUUCCACUACCCUCAGUACAGCACCACUGGCAAACCCUCCCCACUCUCCAGUUUUGCUGCUAACACCUGCAAUUCAAGUCAUAACAAACUACACCUAUGAAUUCUCCUGGAUCUUCACAGUUCCAGGAAUCUCAUCAGCAAGAAGAUAGAUGAAAUAUUUUAAAAAACAGAAAAGAAAAGCAAAAUGAUCAGCAGAGAAAGAAAGAGCCAGGGCUAGAUUUAUAAAGAGUCUCAAGCACUGUGAUAAUGAAUAACACAACACCUAGGGUUCAGUUGCCUGGCAGUUGCCUGGCCCCAGGAGUGGAAACUUCAGUCCUGAGUCGGACGUUUAUUGUCUUACACAAUGUGAGGAACAUGAGGUACCUAGGGGUGUGACUCAGCUAUAAAGAUAGCAUUAAAUGUUUUUAAUU